rnacentral:rRNA from 1 species
AAAACGAACCCUUAACCUGCUAAAUAGCCCCCUUGAUUAGGGUUGGCGGCUGGUUUUUUAGGGGGAUGAAGGCUUCCAGCCAAUGGAAGUUUGAGGCAAAACCAGUUCUGGGAUCCCUUAAGAUGUUCGGGCCGCCAGGGGGGUACCAUGACAGAACCAACGAACCUUGUCCGGAAGGUCUGGGUAAUCUUGUGAAACUUUGUCGUGCUGGGGAUAGAGCAUUGCAAUUAUUGCUCUUCAACGAGGAAUUCCUAGUAAGCGCGAAGUC